GGUUAAUGCAGAGGUAGUCACCAAACGUGAGACAAUGACUGACUAUAGGGGAAGUAUUCUCCUACAUCGAGCAGGAAUCUGCAAAGAACGCCUUCUUUGAGUGCACGGCUACGAUCGAUGACGUAGUGCAUGGUUCUUCUUGGUACUAUAUUGCCUGCAGUGGGUGCCAUUCUAAGGUUAGCAAAGGUCCAACUUCGUUGAUCUGUACAAACAAGAAGUGUGGAAAGGUUAACGUAUAUGGUGUUCCACAGUACCUGUCAAAGAUAUCCGUUUAUGACAACAGAGAGCAAGCUGUCUUUGUGCUACUUGGUGAAGCUGGUCGUUAGCUGACUGGGAAGCCAACAUCAGAGUUAGUCAGAAGCUAUUUUGAGGCUAAUGGGAACGAAGGAGUUAACCUUGAGGCGCCUGUUCCGAAAGCUCUAAUCAGCACCAUCGGUCAGAAGCAUAAGUUUUGUGUCAAAGUUACAGAGCAUAACUUUUCUGGUAAGACCCGAGCUCUUACCGUGACCAAGAUCCUCCCACUAGACACUUCACCAGCCACAGUGUCUUCGAAAGAUAACCAGGCUACUGCGACGUCUGAGGAGACAUCCGAAAACCGUGUGGAUUCAGCAGAUGGGAGUAACAGAACCUGUGACAGUUCUGAGCUGGAGAGAGCUAAACGCCCUAAGUGUGGGAACUAGGGUUCUCGUGACACUUCUCAGAGAUUGCAACUUCAAUUCAGUUUACGUGUUUGUCUCCUUUACAAUUGCCUGCAUGGUUUUUUCAUUAUGUCUUUGAAUUAUGAGAGUUUUUUCCUUGACUUUGGUUUCUCUCAUUUUGAAUUAUCAGAGUUUUUUUAAGAAUCAUUUGUUAUCAAAUAU